AGCGGAGGAAAAGAAACCAACAGGGAUUACCUCAGUAACGGCGAGUGAAGCGGUAACAGCUCAAAUUUGAAAUCUGGCUCUUUCAGGGUCCGAGUUGUAAUUUGUAGAAGAUGCUUUGGGUGUGGCCCCGGUCUAAGUUCCUUGGAACAGGACGUCAUAGAGGGUGAGAAUCCCGUAUGUGACUGGGUGCUUUCGCCCGUGUAAAGCUCUUUCGACGAGUCGAGUUGUUUGGGAAUGCAGCUCAAAAUGGGUGGUAAAUUUCAUCUAAAGCUAAAUAUUGGCCAGAGACCGAUAGCGCACAAGUAGAGUGAUCGAAAGAUGAAAAGCACUUUGGAAAGAGAGUUAAACAGUACGUGAAAUUGUUGAAAGGGAAGCGCUUGCAACCAGACUCGCAUGCCGCUGAUCAUCCGGGGUUCUCCCCGGUGCACUCGGUGGUCUACGGGCCAGCAUCGGUUUGGGUGGCGGGAUAAAGGCUGUGGGAAUGUAGCUUCUCUCGGGGAGUGUUAUAGCCCACGGUGCAAUGCCGCCUACCUGGACCGAGGACCGCGCUUCGGCUAGGAUGCUGGCGUAAUGGUUGUAAGCGACCCGUCUUGAAA
rnacentral:rRNA from 1 species